GGAAGGGCACCACCAGGAGUGGAGCCUGCGGCUUAAUUUGACUCAACACGGGGAAACUCACCAGGUCCAGACAUGACUAGGAUUGACAGAUUGAUAGCUCUUUCAUGAUUUUAUGGGUGGUGGUGCAUGGCCGUUCUUAGUUGGUGGAGUGAUUUGUCUGGUUAAUUCCGAUAACGAACGAGACCUUAUCCUGCUAAAUAGCCAGGCCGGCUUUUGCUGGUCGCCCGGCUUCUUAGAGGGACUGCGGUAGCGUCUAGCCCGCGGAAGUUUGAGGCAAUAAACAGGUCUGUGAUGCCCUUAGAUGUUCUGGGCCGCACGCGCGCUACACUGACAGAGCCAGCGAGUUUUUUUCCUUGGCCGGAAGGUCCGGGUAAUCUUGUGAAACUCUGUCGUGCUGGGGAUAGAGCAUUGCAAUUAUCGCUCUUCAACGAGGAAUUCCUAGUAAGCGUGAGUCAUCAGCUCGCGUUGAUUACGUCCCUGCCCUUUGUACACACCGCCCGUCGCUACUACCGAUUGAAUGGCUUAGUGAGGUCUUCGGAUUGGCUUCGGGGAGCCGGCAACGGUGCCCUGAUGCUGAGAAGUUGAUCAAACUUGGUCAUUUAGAGGAAGUAAAAGUCGUAACAAGGUUUCCGUAGGUGAACCUGCGGAAGGAUCAUUAACGAAUACGUCUGUCGGGAAGGGUUGCUGCUGGCCUCCUCGGAGGCAUGUGCGCGCCUCGACCGCAUUCCACCCCUUCACACCUGUGCACAACCGCGGGGGGGAGCCGCGAGCCCCCCUCUGCGAACCUUUUCACAAACCCCCCAGUCGUAACAGAACGGUAUUCGUAGUAGUGCGUCUUGCGCAUGAAUAAAUACAACUUUCAGCAACGGAUCUCUUGGCUCUCGCAUCGAUGAAGAACGCAGCGAAAUGCGAUAAGUAAUGUGAAUUGCAGAAUUCAGUGAAUCAUCGAAUCUUUGAACGCACCUUGCGCUCCUUGGUAUUCCGAGGAGCAUGCCUGUUUGAGUGUCAUGAACUUCUCAACUGCCUUCCGGGUUUGUGCCCGGCGGUGAAGUUGGACUUUGGAGGCUUUUUGCCGGUGGCUCUCGUCAGCCGUCCGGCCCCUCCGAAAUGCAUGAGCUACUUCCGAUUGGCAGUACAGCGGCCCCGACGUGAUAAUUAUCUGCGCCGGAACGGUCCCUCUGUCUCGGUGGGCUUUACAACGAGAAGCCCGGGUCUUUCGGAACCCGGCCUUGACCAAUUUGACCUCAGAUCAGGUAGGACUACCCGCUGAACUUAAGCAUAUCAAUAAGCGGAGGAAAAGAAACUAACAAGGAUUCCCCUAGUAACUGCGAGUGAAGCGGGAAAAGCUCAAAUUUAAAAUCUGGCGUGCCUCCGGUCGCCCGAGUUGUAGUCUGGAGAAGCGUCUUCCGUGCCGGACCGUGUACAAGUCCCUUGGAACAGGGCGUCAUAGAGGGUGAGAAUCCCGUCUUUGACACGGACUACCGGUGCUCUGUGAUGCGCUCUCAAAGAGUCGAGUUGUUUGGGAAUGCAGCUCAAAAUGGGUGGUAAAUUCCAUCUAAAGCUAAAUACAGGCGAGAGACCGAUAGCGAACAAGUACCGUGAGGGAAAGAUGAAAAGCACUUUGGAAAGAGAGUUAAACAGUACGUGAAAUUGCUGAAAGGGAAACGCUUGAAGUCAGUCGCGUCUGCCGGGACUCAGCCUUGCUUCUGCUUGGCGCACUUCCUGGUAGACGGGCCAGCAUCGAUUUUGACCGCCGGAAAAAGGCGGAGGGAAUGUGGCACCUUCGGGUGUGUUAUAGCCCUUCGUUGUAUACGGCGGUUGGGAUCGAGGACCGCAGCACGCCUUUUGGCCGGGGUUCGCCCACGUACGUGCUUAGGAUGCUGGCGUAAUGGCUUUAAGCGACCCGUCUUGAAACACGGACCAAGGAGUCUAACAUGCCUGCGAGUGUUUGGGUGGAAAACCCGAGCGCGUAAUGAAAGUGAUAGUUGAGACCUCUGUCGUGGAGGGCAUCGACGCCCGGACUUGAUCUACGGAGACGGUUCCGCGGUAGAGCAUGUAUGUUGGGACCCGAAAGAUGGUGAACUAUGCCUGAAUAGGGUGAAGCCAGAGGAAACUCUGGUGGAGGCUCGUAGCGAUUCUGACGUGCAAAUCGAUCGUCAAAUUUGGGUAUAGGGGCGAAAGACUAAUCGAACC
rnacentral:rRNA from 1 species